UCAGGAUAAACGCUGGCGGUAUACGUAACACAUGCAAGUCGAACGCAUCCUUCACAAGAUGAGUGGCGGACGGGUGAGUAACGCGUGAGAAUCUGCCUUCAGGACUGGGACAACCACUGGAAACGGUGGCUAAUACCAGAUAUGCAGUGAGUGAAAAGGUUUAUUCCGCCUGAAGAUGAGCUCGCGUCAGAUUAGCUAGUUGGUGAGGUAACGGCUUACCAAGGCAUCGAUCUGUAGCUGGUCUGAGAGGAUGACCAGCCACACUGGGACUGAGAGACGGCCCAGACUCCUACGGGAGGCAGCAGUGAGGAAUUUUCCGCAAUGGGCGCAAGCCUGACGGAGUAAUACCGCGUGCGGGAGGAAGGUCUAUUGACUGUAAACCGCUUUUAUUAAGAAAGAAUUCUGACGGUACUUAAUGAAUAAGCCUCGGCUAACUCCGUGCCAGCAGCCGCGGUAAUACGGAGGAGGCAAGCGUUAUCCGGAAUUAUUGGGCGUAAAGCGUCCGUAGGUGGUUUUGCAAGUCGGCUGUCAAAGCCCGUGGCUCAACCACGGAAAGGCAGUGGAAACUACAAGACUGGAGUGCAGUAGGGGCAGAGGGAAUUC
rnacentral:rRNA from 1 species